UUUAAUGGAGAGUUUGAUCCUGGCUCAGGACGAACGCUGGCGGCGUGCCUAAUACAUGCAAGUCGAG
rnacentral:rRNA from 2 species